CGAAAGAAUUGGCUUCGUCCUUGCCUUGCCGUCUGAUCUCUUCCGCAGACGCCGACGGAGAGCCAGCAACGGAUUCCACGCCCUGCUCACGCCAAAAGCCAAACGCCUCACUUUUGAACCAUCGAUCCUUUCUCUAUUCCUCCUCCUCCUCUUCCGCUCUGGUAUAAAUCCUCUCUCUCGCCUCCCCGGAAGCUCCACAGCGACCCACAGAGACGGAGGAGAAGGCGUAAGCGGUGACGCCAUGGCGAGGCUCUACGUGCAGACGGUGCCUCCGCCGGAUCUGAACAAGAACACCGAGUGGUUCAUGUACCCCGGCGUCUGGACCACCUACAUAUUGAUCCUCUUCUUCUCCUGGCUACUCGUCCUCUCCUUCUUCGGAUGCUCCGCCGGCAUGGCCUGGACAGUCGUCAAUCUCUUCCACUUCGCGGUUACAUAUUACUUCUUCCACUGGAAAAAGGGUACUCCUUUUGCUGAAGAUCAGGGCAUAUAUAAUAACUUGACCUGGUGGGAGCAGAUAGAUAAUGGCAAGCAAUUAACACGUAACAGGAAAUUUUUGGCUGUGGUACCUGUUGUCCUGUAAGUAUUGUGCUUCUAAAUCCUUCCAUAUAAAAACCUUCCUUGGUUGUCGCUAUUUAUGUGCAAUGCAGCAUUAACUGCCAACACUCAGAUUGUUAUGUUUCUUGUUGCAAUUCUUUCAAGUGAAACUUUGAACCUGUAUUUACUUUUGACAUCCUGGUUCAGGAAACUCUUUGGCACUACUUAACCAACACACAUCAGUAAGAUUUAAAGAUGAUUGUUUAGCAAUACUUUGCUAUAUAGGUGCAUUUAUUUAUCUUCUUUUCUGUUUUUGUUUUAAGUUGAAAUCACCUCUCUGCCUUUGCCUUUCUAAGUGAUCAAAUAUGGACCCUUCAUUUUAGUAAGUGAUCUAGAGAACUGGUAAUUUUGGAAUUGGAAUUCGAGGCUUGUCUUGCAAAUCAAUCUUGGAACUAGCGCAAUUUGUGGGGUUGGAAGCCUCUGUCUAAUUGGAUUUUUGAAGCAGGGUAAUGGUGGAUGAAAUUGAAAACUAGAUUCACUUAAUUCUGUCGUGGGUGAUUCCUCUAUUUCGGAGUAGUUCAAUACUAGAUUCCUUGAUGUCCUGUUUUAGCACUUUGUUUUGAAGAGAAUUUCAGAAAGUUUGAUCCAUAUCCCAAAUCCUUUAAGAAUUAAUGCUUGUUUAGAAUCUUUUGUAUCUGAAAUUGUUUGCUUAGAUAUCAAUACUUGUUAGUUUUCUUCAUCCAUAAGUUGGUGCAUGUCACAUGAUUGUUGGAUCAAAAACCUAAUGCCCAAGAAUAUACAAGUGAAUUAAUACAUAAGAGUGGAGAGAUCUAUCAUUGAAGCAAAUUAAAUUUAUGAAGGAUAUAGUUUGGUAAUUGUCAUCGAGGAUAACUAUUAUCAAUAUGUCCUCAUAAUAGAGUAUACAGCAGUUUGACAAGUAUGUUAGGCAUAUUUUUGAUAUAGUAUCAACUUGCCAAGUACUAAUGCAUGAGAAUAGAAGUUGCCAGGAAAAAAAAUCUAAUAUUUCACUUUUCAUCUAACCUCUCCAUGCCCAUGUUGAAUAUUGAUGCUAGACACUGACACACUGAAUUGGACACCCAAUGUUCCUUGUAAUCACAUCUAAAAACUCUAAAAACCUUUAGAAAGAACCUUAUCAAACACUUGGAUCCAUGCUUGUGUUGGACACUUGUAACCAAGUCCAAGUAACAUAGCAGAAAAUUGUGAGACCCCACUUAUUCCCACCAAAGAUAGGAGGAGAUAAAGUAGGGUUGAAAAUUGCAAUUUUCAAAUUUUUUUGUUUGAUAAUAUAGGAAAAACAGGAGCAUUUCAUUGUAACUAUUAGAUUCAAUCUGAUACUCUGGUAAAUUUUGUGUCACAAUAGGAAAUGCUAUAUUGGAAACAAGGUUUAAGGUUAGGACACCAAAUGGGCAUGCUAUAUCUCUAUUGAUCACGGGGAAUUUUAAAAAUAAUUGUAAAGGACACGUGAAUUCACCUGUGACAGACACUUGGAUCCACCCGUGUCAAAUAGUUGGCUAGUAACAUAGCUUAACCUGUGCUCGACAUAAAUCCUGAUCCACCUGCCUAUUGCAUAGGUUGAAAAUGUAGCCUAGGUAUUAUUUGUUCUUAGCAGUGUGCCUUUUGAUCCUCUUCAUGUGAUUCCAAGUUCUGAGCAGAUAGAAGCUUGAGGUAGGGCAUGAUCGAAGAAGGUUAAAGUUAAGCUAUAUUCAUGGUUCUUGAUCAAUGACUUAAUCCUGUAGAACUCCUCUAAAGAACUUAAAUAACCAAGUAUCUGAUAGCCUCACACACAACUGACUACCAACACCCAAUGUUGUUCCUGAAUACACUUGCAGUGGCUGUUUUGGUGAUUGCCAAGUUCCCAAACAUGCACAAGGUCCGAAUCUUCGGAAUCAAUGGUUAACUGUUGCCGGCCGCAGCACAUCAAAGAUGUCGGAUCUUUUUCAUCGACUGCGAAAGUAGUGCUGAAGUUGCAGCAAUGGCCUUUCUUUUUCUCCUCUGAUUUAGUUCUCUAAGCCCUCUUUGUAUGAGUUAGUCGAAUACAAUCAGAUCAUACUUGUGUUUCCUUGGAGAUAAAUCUUGCUCUUGAGUUUAGUCAGGAUUAUGUAUUUGUGUCUAGUCGUUUUUUCCCUGAAGAAAUGGAAACGAAAUCAUUGAAUAAAAUGCCAAAAGCAUGGAGCUUUGGUAAA